GACAAGUGGCGCAGUCAUGGGAGAAAGACAGCAUCUCACUCUGUGGCCCAGGCUGGAGUGUGGUGGCACUAUCACAGUUCAUUACAGCCUCAACGUCUCGGACUCAGAUGAUCCUGCCACCUCAAUCUCCCAAGUAGUUGGGACCACAGGUAAUGAGAGAUCACCAGGCUAGGAGGAUAGAGAAGCCUGAAUUCUGCUAAGGAAUAGACAUAAACAACUGCCAGCCAUUAUUCUGGAGGUCACAAGGUUGACAACCCUUGAAUCUGUGGACAAGUCACAUAAAUCUAAAAGUUUAUACUGUCCACAGUCCUUUCCUUUGGUCCUAAUAUCAGCGCCAACGUGGAUUCACAGCCAAAAGGAGUUCAUGAUGCAUCUCCCAUGGAAAGAGCUUAUACCUCAAACCCACAAGGCUCCCCUCUACAUUCACCACAUGGAGAACAGACCAGCCAAAACCUCUCAGGAGUAAGGAAAGCCAAAGGAGAAACCUCAGGAAGGGCUGGACUGGGCACAUUUGGUUUCCUUGAAGUCACUUAUUAGAUAACUAAGCUAACUCUUCCUCAUGACAGAGAAGAGUGGCUUGGGUCUCUCCCCGCAGGAAGACAUGGCCAGGGGAAUGAAGGUUCUUCCUCGACAGGUGUACUGGAGAUAUUCUACAUCAAUGUUUUAGAAUUCUGUUUGUAAAUAAUGCCAGUUGAAAAUGAUGGUUUUUUUGUGUGUAACUAGUACAAUCCAAAUCAGACAUUUAUUGAACUCUCACUGUGUGUAAAGGAAAAUACUUACCUCUGUAGGAUAGAGGAUAAAGAACUACUAAGAUAAGCACAUAAUGCUUCACAAAAGUACUAAAAAAAAAAUUAAAAAAGUAAAACUGUCACCUUAGAAUUCUGUAUUACAUGAAAAUAUAUUUAUUUUUAUUCAUUUAUUUGCUUGUUUUUGAGACAGGGUCUCCCUCUGUCACCCAGGCGGGAGUGCAGUGGAGCAAUCACAGAUCACUACAGCCUUGACCUCCCAGGCUCAAGUGAUCCUCCCACCUCAUUAUUGUACAUUUUUAAAUGUACAAUAGAUUAUUGUUGAACUGGAAUCCAGCUAGAAUCCAAUUUUUAGAAACUCACUCUAAGGUAAUGAUUAAAAUAUCAGGUGUUAGUUCUAUAAAUCUGUCAUCUAGAUUAAAAACCAGAUGCUUCCAUUCCAGGGUGGAGUAUUUGCCAGUAACUCUCUGGAGAUCUGUCUUAUCUGUGACCAAGACAACGAAGCUUAAAAAAAGGCAAUAAUGUUGGAAAAAGACAUGAAUAUGGUCUGUAUUAAAUUGAUUCUACUUUUUAUUUAGUCAUGACUCUGGACUAACUUUCAAAAAGUAAAAUGUUAUGCCAGCCUAGCAAAUGUUCAUAUCAAAUUCCUCAUUGUUUUCUCUACUCUCCUUUGUCCUGCCCUCCACUUUUGUUUGCUUGGUGAGGCUCACCCUAAAAUAUGUAAAAAUAUGUAAAAUAUGUAAAAAAAAAAUUUAAAAAGCAAUGAUGUUCUGUUGGAAGAAACAAAGGAAAGAAAUAAAAGUUGCAUUUAAA
rnacentral:lncRNA from 1 species